rnacentral:tRNA from 1 species
GGCCCUUUCGUAUAGUGGUAAUUACAAGGCAACUUCACUGCCUAAACGCCAGUUCGAUCCUGGCAAGGGUCA